UGAUCAGUCACACUGGAACUGAGACACGGUCCAGACUAAUACGGGAGGCAGCAGUGGGGAAUAUUGGACAAUGGGCGAAAGCCUGAUCCAGCCAUGCCGCGUGUGUGAAGAAGGUCUUCGGAUUGUAAAGCACUUUAAGUUGGGAGGAAGGGCAGUAAGCUAAUACCUUGCUGUUUUGACGUUACCGACAGAAUAAGCACCGGCUAACUCUGUGCCAGCAGCCGCGGUAAUACAGAGGGUGCAAGCGUUAAUCGGAAUUACUGGGCGUAAAGCGCGCGUAGGUGGUUUGUUAAGUUGGAUGUGAAAGCCCC
rnacentral:rRNA from 1 species